AUCUUUGCGCUUGGGGCAAUGACGCAGCUAGUGAGGUAAUACCCGAGGCGCGUCAAUUGCUGGUUGAAAACUAUUUCCAAACCCCCUCUUUGGCCCGGCAUUCAGGGCCACUGAGAAUUUCUGGAAGGGCUCCUUCUCUUCGGGGAGGGUAAAGCCCUACAAAUC
rnacentral:snRNA from 1 species